rnacentral:rRNA from 1 species
UACGUAGGGUGCGAGCGUUGUCCGGAAUUAUUGGGCGUAAAGAGCUCGUAGGCGGUUUGUCGCGUCGACUGUGAAAACCUACAGCUUAACUGUGGGCUUGCAGUCGAUACGGGCAGACUUGAGUUCGGUAGGGGAGACUGGAAUUCCUGGUGUAGCGGUGAAAUGCGCAGAUACCAGGAGGAACACCGGUGGCGAAGGCGGGUCUCUGGGCCGAUACUGACGCUGAGGAGCGAAAGCGUGGGGAGCGAACAGG